rnacentral:misc_RNA from 1 species
AAAAAAACAAAAAAAAAAAAAAGGUACCAAGACGAGAUACCAACAAAACAUUAAUGGACGGCAGCACCAAACGCAUUAUCCAGCCAAUUGGUUACUAAAUUCUGCAGCCAUUUAUACACUAAAAACAGAACGCAGCAGCUCUUCACGAUAUAACGCGUUAAAUUUAGAAGCGAACACAAAGUGUAAUAAAGAAUUAGGCAAAAGAUAAUUGCGAAACUAACUAAAGAAUUGGACAAAAAAAAAGUAACUAAAGAAUUGGACAAAAAAAAAGUAACUAAAGAAAAUGGAAAGCAACGAACCCGGGCCGAGAAGUGGUGAAAGAUUUUCGUGCAGAAUCCGGGGCUCCACCAUUCUCAGAUGAUUUCUUCCU